GAUGAACGCUGGCGGCGUGCCUAAUACAUGCAAGUCGAGCGAACGGACGAGAAGCUUGCUUUUCUGAUGUUAGCGGCGGACGGGUGAGUAACACGUGGAUAACCUACCUAUAAGACUGGGAUAACUUCGGGAAACCGGAGCUAAUACCGGAUAAUAUUUUGAACCGCAUGGUUCAAAAGUGAAAGACGGUCUUGCUGUCACUUAUAGAUGGAUCCGCGCUGCAUUAGCUAGUUGGUAAGGUAACGGCUUACCAAGGCAACGAUGCAUAGCCGACCCGAGAGGGUGAUAGGCUACACUGGAACUGAGACACGGUCCAGACUCCUACGGGAGGCAGCAGUAGGGAAUCUUCCGCAAUGGGCGAAAGCCUGACGGAGCAACGUCGAGUGAGUGAUGAAGGUCUUCGGCUCGUAAAACUCUGUUAUUAGGGAAGAACAUAUGUGUAAGUAACUGUGCACGUCAUGACGGUACCUAAUCAGAAAGCCACGGCUAACUACGUG
rnacentral:rRNA from 1 species